UACGUAGGGCGCAAGCGUUGUCCGGAAUUAUUGGGCGUAAAGAGCUCGUAGGCGGCCAGUUGCGUCCGCUGUGAAAUCCCGGGGCUUAACCCCGGGCGUGCAGUGGAUACGGGCUGGCUAGAGGCAGGCAGGGGAGAACGGAAUUCCCGGUGUAGCGGUGAAAUGCGCAGAUAUCGGGAAGAACACCCGUGGCGAAGGCGGCUCUCUGGGACGGUACUGACGCUGAGACGCGAAAGCGUGGGGAGCGAACAGG
rnacentral:rRNA from 1 species